AUUUUUCUAUAGUAGGUGCAUCGGGAAGCAAUAUUUUAAUUUUUUCUCAGACAUGAAGGACAAAUUUUUAGCUAUAAUAUUGUUGGAUUUACCAAAGGAAAUUUUUGUGUCUUAAAGAGUUAAAUAUUGAACACAUUUCUUCUGAGGGGGAAAAUUUCAGGUCACGGCGGUGUGAAUCAACUAGGAGGGGUGUUUGUGAAUGGGAGACCCCUACCCGAUGUGGUCCGACAGAGGAUCGUGGAACUUGCACACCAAGGCGUCAGGCCUUGUGAUAUUUCCCGCCAACUCCGGGUCUCCCACGGGUGUGUCAGCAAAAUACUCGGAAGAUACUAUGAGACUGGCUCGAUUAAGCCAGGAGUUAUUGGUGGAUCCAAGCCCAAAGUGGCCACCCCUAAAGUGGUGGAUGCCAUCACAAGAUACAAGCACGAGAACCCCACCAUGUUUGCUUGGGAGAUCCGAGACCGGCUGCUGGCCGAAGGGGUGUGUACCGCCGAAAACGUCCCCAGUGUCAGUUCAAUCAACAGAAUCGUAAGAAACAAAGCUGCAGAGAAUGCAAAACAAUCUCCUGGACACACCAGUCCCUCCGUGGAUACCGGAAGUCCCCCGUUGUCCCAUCAACCCUCGCCCAACAGCGAGAUUCAGCGAGCUCCCUACACAAUCACCGGAAUUCUGGGAAUUCCUCAAAGCCAGACCGCUCAAACAAUGGUGGACCCCAACGGGAACAAGAGGAAGAGGGAGGACCAAGUCCCAAAUGGUCACGAAGCUGAAGUGAAAAUAGAACCAAAUACAGGAGAUAUGAAUAUAUGGUACCAAGCCCAACCUAGACCAACGAAACAAGCCAGGCCCGAAAACGGAACAACGGACGCUCAAGGCAUGCCCCAUACUCUGAUAAUAAACAAUGCACCAAUGUACCCCGCGGGAGUACCAACUAAUCUUCCUCCGAACUAUAAUGCUCAUUUUGUUACCACAACGACUACCAUUUCCGGGGAUGUUAUAAAACCCCAAGUCGGAGUUGAGUACACCAUCGCAUCCCCGGCCAUCGGCACAGUGGCCAAUUCCGAAUCUCAAAGCACAAGCCAGUAAUUUCGUGACGUCUUUAGCAACCAACAACACACCAACUUCAUCAUCAACACCAACCAUCAACAAUAAUAACAACACCCCUCCCCCCAAGGCGGGCUCCCCCGGCUCAGGGGGUGGGGCUAACAACCUGACGGAGCUUAAGCCCGUUCAACCCACUAUGUCCCAGUCCUAUACACCGUUGCCGUCGUUUUCGGGACAAUUUUCAAGUCAAGCUAGCAGUUAUAACGGCUCACACGCUACGUUCCCCAGUCAAGCAGUUGUUGGCACUGUCGUUCAACCACUAGUAAUCUCCAGCGGAUCUUAUAACCCAACAAAUCCACCCAAUGACUUACCUGUUUUUUUGUUAUAGAUGACUCACCUGUUAUUUACUCGCCUGUUGUAGGUGGGGAGUACUAUAACACCGCCGGCACUGUCCCCUACACGCAGUAUCAGACAGCUGCCUACCCCGCAGACCCCGCCUGGACCAUGAGAUACACCAACCCCACAGGUAUUCUAAAUACGCCAUACUAUUACCAAACGCCAGUCUCAGGAAGGAACGAGCCGAACACAACCGUGGCCGCAUCAGCAAGUCCUUCAAAAUCAUAACAGUGUGCGCAUGCGCAGAUCGUAUGACCAAUACGUCAGCAACUUGAUGAUAUUACCAUAUACACGUUGUGCUCGAAAAAUUAAAAACCUUAAUAUGAGAAUGGAAUUUUGUAAGUCGUGGCAUUAUGGAAACUGGACGGUCAAGAAGAUGUGUUAUAUAGAAAUAGAUGCUUUGCAUCCUUAACAAAAAAGUUUUCUAUUUGAUGAGACGAUUUGAAGACUUCAGGAAGAUUGUUUUUAAUGAAAAUACUGUAUAUGUGAAACACACAGUGACAUCGACUUUACUGUGUUUGGAAUCAGAUUUACAAUUGUCUUACUAUUUGAGGGGAGGAAGGUUGUAUAGUGAGAAGACGAGUGAUUGGAUACUGUGUGUGUGGUCAGACCGUGUGUGAAUGCAAACGUAUCAAUUGUAGAUAUAUCCAUAUGUAUAUCUUACUUUUCAUAUAUUAUAGCCUUGGUUUUGUAUACUUUUAAAGAAACCUCUCUGUACGGUAACGCGUGUUCGGGAGCCCUCUUAUAGUUAUCUUAUCAUUGUCAUAAACCAUCACAAUUCAAGAUUUUUUUGAAAAAUAAUUGUGAGAAUUUCCAAACCUUUAAAAAUUGGCACACAAAAAAGGCUUGGGAUCUCUCCUCUGUAUUUUUUUCCUCUGCUUGUACGAACCUAGAUCAUUGUGAACAUUUCGAAUUAUAUCUCAAUAUUUCAUCAAUCAUGUUCUUCACUUUAAUUUUGUGCAAUAUUUUCAUUUUUUUUCUUUUGUUUUAAUUUCAAAAAAGUUGAUAGCCAUUCAAAACAAAACUUUUAAUACACACCUCAUUUCAGUAUUAUAGUAUUACAUAAAAUUAUGCACGCUCAGCAAAAAUGCUUAACCUUAGGAAUCAAAUAUGAUUUGCUCAAUGAACAAACAUAGACUCUUGGGGGGAAACUAUAUUCAGUACUAAUAAUUUUAUGACAGGUUUUAAUGAUUUAUGAUUAUGAAUCUUGCACGUGAGUUCUUCACGUGAUCAUUACAACAAUCGCUUUUACUUUCAUCGGUUUAAGAUCUGCCAUGAUCGGUCUACAACACACAGAGAUGGGUGAGAAUAAUGUUUAACCAAAGAAAAAAAAAACUAAUAUACGGACAGUGUUACUGAUGACUGAAUCACUUGAAAUCCCGAUUCCCUGUGAACGGAUAAGGGAAGACUCGAUUUGAGCGAGUGCUAGAAAAACAUUGUAUGCUAUUUUUCUUUUUUAAAAAUUUGUAUAUACUUAUUUCUUCAGGGUAGAUCCCAUUUUUUAGAUCAUUCCCUGUGAUAUUAUAUUGAUGUACCAUGACAAUAUUUUUUUUCUCUUAUCGUGAUGAACAGGGAUCAUUUAUUAUUGAAUCCUGUUCUUUGACAGAGUACAGAAUAAAAUGAAAGAAUCUCUUCUUUUUUUAAAAUGUAAUACUAUUUCAAAACUCAUCAAUCUUAGGUAUAGAUAUUUACAAUAUCAUGAAAUGUUUGAGUUUGCAAAAUAAAAUUUUGUUAUACCUG
rnacentral:misc_RNA from 1 species